UUGACCUCAAAUCAGGUAGGACUACCCGCUGAACUUAAGCAUAUCAAUAAGCGGAGGAAAAGAAACUAACAAGGAUUCCCCUAGUAACUGCGAGUGAACCGGGAAAAGCUCAAAUUUUGAAUCUGGCGGUCUUUACGGUCGUCCGAGUUGUAAUCUAGAGAAGCGUCUUCCGCGCUGGACCGUGUAUAAGUUUCCUGGAAUGGAACGUCGUA
rnacentral:rRNA from 1 species